rnacentral:rRNA from 1 species
UACCAGCACCCCGAGUGGUCGGGACGUUUAUUGGGCCUAAAGCAUCCGUAGCCGGUUCUACAAGUCUUCCGUUAAAUCCAACUGCUUAACAGGUGGGCUGCGGAAGAUACUAUAGAGCUAGGAGGCGGGAGAGGCAAGCGGUACUCGAUGGGUAGGGGUAAAAUCCGUUGAUCCAUUGAAGACCACCAGUGGCGAAGGCGGCUCACUGGACUGGUAUUGACGCUGAGGUGCGAAAGCGUGGGGAGCAAACAGG